ACGCUGGCGGCAGGCCUAACACAUGCAAGUCGAGCGGAUGAAGAGAGCUUGCUCUCUGAUUCAGCGGCGGACGGGUGAGUAAUGCCUAGGAAUCUGCCUAUUAGUGGGGGACAACGUUUCGAAAGGAACGCUAAUACCGCAUACGUCCUACGGGAGAAAGCAGGGGACCUUCGGGCCUUGCGCUAAUAGAUGAGCCUAGGUCGGAUUAGCUAGUUGGUGAGGUAAUGGCUCACCAAGGCGACGAUCCGUAACUGGUCUGAGAGGAUGAUCAGUCACACUGGAACUGAGACACGGUCCAGACUCCUACGGGAGGCAGCAGUGGGGAAUAUUGGACAAUGGGCGAAAGCCUGAUCCAGCCAUGCCGCGUGUGUGAAGAAGGUCUUCGGAUUGUAAAGCACUUUAAGUUGGGAGGAAGGGCAUUAACCUAAUACGUUAGUGUUUUGACGUUACCGACAGAAUAAGCACCGGCUAACUCUGUGCCAGCAGCCGCGGUAAUACAGAGGGUGCAAGCGUUAAUCGGAAUUACUGGGCGUAAAGCGCGCGUAGGUGGUUUGUUAAGUUGAAUGUGAAAUCCCCGGGCUCAACCUGGGAACUGCAUCCAAAACUGGCAAGCUAGAGUAGGGCAGAGGGUGGUGGGAUUUCCUGUGUAGCGGUGAAAUGCGUAGAUAUAGGAAGGAACACCAGUGGCGAAGGCGACCACCUGGGCUCAUACUGACACUGAGGUGCGAAAGCGUGGGGAGCAAAC
rnacentral:rRNA from 1 species